rnacentral:misc_RNA from 1 species
GAGACCCAUUAAAGAGAUGAGGAUCAAACCAGAAAAGGAUAGAACAGAAAAAAAAAUUGUAUGAGAUAAAGAUAGAGGAAGUGAUUAUUUAACAAGGAUAAAUUGUUAUUAUUAUUAUUAUGAUUUUGGUUUGGUUGCUUUAUGAUUCUCUGCAGCAGCAGUGUUGAUCAAAGAUGCAGAACAGGCCAAAUAAACCAGAAGACGUGGUCUACAAGAAGCAGCCUUACAUCGAGAAUAUAGGCCACUCAGAAUGUUAUUGUCAUUUCCUUAUCUGAUGAAUCCUUGCAUAAAUUUAUAUCAUCUGCUUUGUGUUCAACUAUGUUCUGUUGCUCUUCUUCUAUAUUGUAUUGGAUUGGAUUAUGAGCUGCUUCUGUGUGCAAAACGUAUGCAAUUCUCCAUGAUGUCUGCAGCGGAGACUGUAGCCAUUCAUCACCAACCUCCAAAUAUCCAGAGUGAGCCCUUCCAUUAGUGUGCUGCAUAUAGCUUUUCUCACAUCUAAACAUCCAGUGCAACCUGGGCAAUAACUAGGUUUGUAUGCAGAAUCCAUCUCAUUAUGAAAGGACUUGAGAGACUAGAGCACUGCUCCAAUCCUACAACAUAAUUUUCGUUAGAUUGGUAGUGCAAGACUAAUUGUUUCAUCCAAGGACUUCAGAGAUGACAUUCUUUAGUAUUCAUGCAUAGAUGUCAUACAAAUUCUUUUAUUUCUCAAUGUUGCUAUGACUAGAUCCUUCUCAUUACAAUGCUUCCAACAUUCCAGAGAAAAAAAUUGCAUAUUCAUAGGGAUUGACUGAAAGUAUUAGAAAGUUGAAUGGAAAAGAAUAUUACUAAAUAUGUACAUGUGGUUUGGACUUUAUAUGACUUGGUGUACCUUCAGUUCGGAUAAUCACAAACUGUUAUUUGCAACUGGGAAUUAUCCUGUUCACCCGCAUAUUGUCUGAUAAAAGCUCUUCUCCACCAAACCUCAAAUGCUCUUUGAAUAUUGGGGCAGUCAUCCCCCUUGUUAAGGAAUCGAUCAAACCAUUUUAGCAUAAUAGCCUGUUGUUGCAGCAAUGGUAAGGUAAGAAUUGUCCGCCCUAGUCCAUCCUCAACUAGUUUCUUAUCAACAGAUUUACAAGCCCUCCUUAUCCAUCCAAAGUCUUCAUAAAGAGCUUCCAACCAGGUUGACAACAAGGAAAACCGAGUUUCUUUUGGUACCAAGAUUUGUCCUCUCCCAAUGGCAAUGCAUAGUUGUGCAGUAAUCUUGCUGAUUUCAUGUCGGUAAAUGGUAGGAAUCUUUGAAUGGAGAACUGCAAGCUCCUUCUGAUCAGCCCAUAAUUUCACGAACUCAUCUGCUGCUUGUUUAUCAAUUAAAAUAUCAACAAUCCACUGCAAAUUUUCAGCUUCUCGAGCUAUUUCACUCAUUAAACCACCUCGGUCAUGCCUGGUAUCAUCCAUGCAUGUAGCCUCAGAUAAGCAUAGGACAAGCGAACUGAGACAUCCAUGGCAGAGAGAAUAAAGUGUAUCUUUAGAAACAUCAAGCCUAUUAUCAUGAUCUGAUGAAUCUUCUCUAAAUAACCUAGAAAUUACAGUUUUCAUCUCUCGACGAGCCUUGUCAUCUUUGGCUUGUAGAACACCAUUCAGCAAUUUCAGGAAGAUGUCAUCAGCUCUAGGAGAAGUAGAUAGUUCGGUUGACACUCUUUGGAGAACUUCAGUUGCUGAGUCAUGAAGCUGAAGUUGACUAAGAUGAAAGAUGACCUUUUCCUCUUCAUCCUCAGACCAUGGUACAGCUUCCAAGUAUUCUAAGCAUGACAUAAUCCCUGCAUCAAACAUGAUAGCUGCAGAUACCUUAAGCAAUGCCAAGACUUUAUAGACCUCCUCACCCAUCAAUCUCUUCUUCAAAUCAUCACAAUACAUCAAUACCAGAGUCUCCAGGUACACCUCUACAUCAUCACACUCACUUAUCUCCACUGUAUGCAUAACUCCCUUCUCUCUGUCUCGUAACUUCUCCCUGAAGAAUCCACUUUUCUCUAUCAAAACCCACUUAUGCGCAUCAAAUGAAACCCUAUACCCAUCUCUCCCAAUCACAGUAAGCCUCACAUCACCCAAUCCCAACCCACAAUUAUUCAAAUUGUCAAAUUCUUUUAAUAUUUUUGAUACUUUUGAUUGGGAUCUUUGGCGGUUCUGUUCAAGGGCUUGCUCCUCAGACAUCAUUUGAAACAGAGUUGGGUGGUGACCCGGGCGAGUUGGCGGUUGAGUCGACUCAUUGGAGUUGAAGUGGGGUGGAGAGAGUACGGUUUUUGAGUUAGGAGAGUUUAAAACCCUAGAGAGUGUUGCAGUUGAGGAAGUUCUUGAAGGUGAAAAAGAAAGUGUUGGGUCUGAGAUAAACCCUUGCUUUAUCAUCGUUGACACUUCUCUUGAUGCUGUCAUUUCAAUUCAAUUCAACUCGCGUUAAGAGCAUAGAAAGAGAGAUGCUAGUGAGAUGAGUAUCAACCAAAUGCAGGAACCCUCUACUACUCGGAAUCUUUUCCCGGGAAAAUGAGCAAAUGGGUUUUUCCGCGAAAAUGUUUUAGGCAAUAGAAAGAGGAAGAAUCCAAGAAAGAAAGCAGAAAGGCGAGGGCUUUGGAUCCGCUGUCGAACAACAGCGCACUAGUGCUGCCUACUGAUGGC